rnacentral:rRNA from 1 species
UGGUGGAGUGAUUUGUCUGGUUAAUUCCGUUAACGAACGAGACCUCGACCUGCUAACUAGUUCGGCAUAGGCUUCGGCCUAUGUUCGUGACUUCUUAGAGGGACUAUCGGUGUGUAGCCGAUGGAAGUUCGAGGCAAUAACA